rnacentral:RNase_P_RNA from 1 species
GGCGGCCGCGUUGCGCCGUACCCCCAUCUGCUGAUGGACCGGCGCACCGAGGAAGGUCCGGACUCCACCGGGCAGGGUGGUGGCUAACGGCCACCCGGGGCGACCCGCGGGACAGUGCCACAGAGACAGACCGCCAGCGGCCUCACUCCCUGAGUGAGGUGCGGGUAAGGGUGAAACGGUGGUGUAAGAGACCACCAGCGCCGCAGGUGACUGCGGCGGCUGGGUAAACCCCACCUGGAGCAAGACCAAGAGGGCCCGCUGCGCGAGCAGCCGGCCUGCGCGGACGUUCGAGGGUGCCCGCCCGAGUUCGCGGGUAGGUCGCUGGAGAGCAUCGGCAACGGUGCUCGUAGAUGGAUGGCCGCC